GGUCAAGCUACAAAGGGCGCAUGGUGAAUGCCUUGGCAUCAGGAGCCGAUGAAGGACGUGAUAAGCUGCGAUAAGCUUCGGGUAGGCGCACAUAGCCUGAGAUCCGAAGAUCUCCGAAUGAGGAAACUCACAUGGGAAACCCCAUGUAUCAUUAAGUGAAUACAUAGCUUAAUGAAGGUAACCCAGGGAACUGAAACAUCUAAGUACCUGGAGGAAGAGAAAGAAAAAUCGAUUUUCUUAGUAGCGGCGAGCGAAAGGGAAAGAGCCCAAACCGGAAACUUGUUUCCGGGGUUGUGGACAUAGCAUAAAAGUGGAGGCUAUUGUAACUGAAGAGAACUGGAAAGUUCCACCGUAGAAGGUAAUAGUCCUGUAAGUGAAACGAGAAGACCAUGAGUUAUGAUCCAGAGUACCACGAGACACGUGAAACCUUGUGGGAAGCAGGGAGGACCACCUCCCAAGGCUAAAUACUACCUGAUGACCGAUAGUGAAGCAGUACCGUGAGGGAAAGGUGAAAAGAACCCCGGGAGGGGAGUGAAAUAGAACCUGAAACCGUGUGCCUACAACCGCUCAGAGCCCCUUAUGAGGGUGAUGAGGUGCUUUUUGUAGAACGAGCCAACGAGUUACGGUAUGUAGCAAGGUUAAGUACUUAAGGUACGGAGCCGAAGGGAAACCGAGUCUGAAUAGGGCGACUAGUUGCAUGCCGUAGACCCGAAACCGGGUGACCUAUCCAUGGCCAGGUUGAAGCGAGGGUAAAACCUCGUGGAGGACCGAACCACGUUGCUGUUGAAAAAGCAUGGGAUGAGCUGUGGAUAGCGGAGAAAUUCCAAUCGAACCCGGAGAUAGCUGGUUCUCUCCGAAAUAGCUUUAGGGCUAGCGUCGAGUAUGAGUAGUGGAGGUAGAGCACUGAAUGGGCUAGGGGGCAUAGCGCUUACCGAACCUUAUCAAACUCCGAAUGCCACAUACUUUGAGCUCGGCAGUCAGACUACGAAUGAUAAGAUCCGUGGUCAAAAGGGAAACAGCCCAGAUCGUCAGCUAAGGUCCCAAAGUGUAAGUUAAGUGGGAAAGGAUGUGAGAUUUCUAAGACAACUAGGAUGUUGGCUUAGAAGCAGCCAUUCAUUAAAAGAGUGCGUAAUAGCUCACUAGUCGAGAGAUCUUGCGCCGAAAAUGUAACGGGGCUAAACUUACCACCGAAGCUACGGGCUUGAACUUAGUUCAAGCGGUAGGAGAGCGUCGUAACCGGGCUGAAGUCGUACCGUAAGGAGCGGUGGACUGGUUACGAGUGAGAAUGUUGGCAUCAGUAGCGAGAUGUGGGUGAGAAUCCCACAGGCCGAAAACCUAAGGUUUCCUCAGGAAGGUUCGUCCGCUGAGGGUUAGUCGGGACCUAAGCCGAGGCCGAAAGGCGUAGGUGAUGGACAACUGGUUGAUAUUCCAGUACCACUACCAUCGUUAUUAUCGAUGGCGUGACGCAGGAGGAUAGUGUGUGCUAGCUAUUGGAUGCUAGUCUAAGCGUUUAGGCAGUGAGAGUAGGCAAAUCCGCUCUCAUAAUGCUGAGGCGUGAUGGGGAAGGUUCUACGGAACCGAAGUACAUGAUUCCACGCUGCCAAGAAAAGCGUCUAGAGAGAGAAGUAGUGCCCGUACCGCAAACCGACACAGGUAGGUGAGGAGAGAAUCCUAAGGCCUGCGGAAGAAUUACAGUUAAGGAACUCGGCAAAUUGACCCCGUAAGUUCGCGAGAAGGGGUGCCUACGAGAGUAGGCCGCAGAGAAUAGGCCCAAGCAACUGUUUAGCAAAAACACAGGUCUCUGCUAAAGCGUAAGCUGAUGUAUAGGGGCUGACGCCUGCCCGGUGCUGGAAGGUUAAGGGGAACACUUAGCGCAAGCGAAGGUGUGAACUUAAGCCCCAGUAAACGGCGGCCGUAACUAUAACGGUCCUAAGGUAGCGAAAUUCCUUGUCAGGUAAGUUCUGACCCGCACGAAUGGCGUAAUGACUUGGGCACUGUCUCAACUGUAAAUCCGGCGAAGUUGUAGUGCGAGUGAAGAUGCUCGCUACCCGCGAUUGGACGGAAAGACCCCGUAGAGCUUUACUGUAGCUUAGCAUUGAGUUUUGGUAUUGUCUGUACAGGAUAGGUGGGAGACUAGGAAACCAGGGCGUCAGCCUUGGUGGAGUCAACCUUGGGAUACCACCCUGACAGUACUGAAAUUCUAACUGGCGGCCAUGAAUCUGGUCACAGGACAUUGUUAGGUGGGCAGUUUGACUGGGGCGGUCGCCUCCUAAAAAGUAACGGAGGCGCCCAAAGGUUCCCUCAGAACGGUCGGAAAUCGUUCGAAGAGUGCAAAGGCAGAAGGGAGCCUGACUGCGACACCCACAAGUGGAGCAGGGACGAAAGUCGGGCUUAGUGAUCCGGUGGUACCUCGUGGGAGGGCCAUCGCUCAACGGAUAAAAGCUACCUCGGGGAUAACAGGCUGAUCUCCCCAAGAGUCCACAUCGACGGGGAGGUUUGGCACCUCGAUGUCGGCUCGUCGCAUCCUGGGGCUGAAGUAGGUCCCAAGGGUUGGGCUGUUCGCCCAUUAAAGCGGCACGCGAGCUGGGUUCAGAACGUCGUGAGACAGUUCGGUCCCUAUCCGUCGCGGGCGUAGGAAAUUUGAGAGGAGCUGUCCUUAGUACGAGAGGACCGGGAUGGACUGACCUCUGGUGUACCAGUUGUUCCGCCAGGAGCAUAGCUGGGUAGCUAAGUCGGGAAUGGAUAAACGCUGAAAGCAUCUAAGCGUGAAGCCAACCUCAAGAUGAGAUUUCCCAUAGCGUAAGCUAGUAAGAUCCCUUGAAGAACACAAGGUUGAUAGGUCGGGGGUGUAAGCAUGGUAACAUGUUCAGCUGACCGAUACUAAUAGAUCGAGGGCUUGACCAA
rnacentral:rRNA from 1 species